rnacentral:rRNA from 1 species
CAGGUUCAAACACCGGUUCCCGUAUGAUCACCGAAGUUAAGCAACGUCGAGACUGGUCAGUAACUAGAUGGGCGGGCGCUUGCGAAUACCAGGUGCUGUAAG